UUAAAUUGAAGAGUUUGAUCAUGGCUCAGAUUGAACGCUGGCGGCAGGCCUAACACAUGCAAGUCGAACGGUAACAGGAAGCAGCUUGCUGCUUUGCUGACGAGUGGCGGACGGGUGAGUAAUGUCUGGGAAACUGCCUGAUGGAGGGGGAUAACUACUGGAAACGGUAGCUAAUACCGCAUAAUGUCGCAAGACCAAAGAGGGGGACCUUCGGGCCUCUUGCCAUCGGAUGUGCCCAGAUGGGAUUAGCUAGUAGGUGGGGUAAAGGCUCACCUAGGCGACGAUCCCUAGCUGGUCUGAGAGGAUGACCAGCC
rnacentral:rRNA from 1 species